UGACCAGAAGUUGGGUCAAGAAAUAUUCUUUGAAGUCUUCUAGCAAUCACUGGGCUUUUAAUAGAUUGUCUUUUAUUUGGGGAUGAGAUAACUAUAAAAGCCAAAGAUGAGCCCGGACAAUGACAAUGACAUUACAAUAGGAAAUUUCUGCAAUGGUUGCCAAAGAUUAUAAUGAGAUCUCAAAAGAAGUAAAAGAAGAGCAAACCUUUGGCAAUUAUUUGCUGAAAGAGAUGAUUACUUUGAAAGGAAAUUAUUUGGUGUCUUGAGAUGAAAUGCCAGAAAUGAUAAGCCUCUUGGAUAUAGGACAAAUGUCACAGAAGAAAGAACAAUAAGAUAUCAUAUAAAGGGAACUGGGUGAGAUAAAGAAGAAUGUUUAGGAAACUAAGAGUCCAACAGUGGAAUUAUGAACUGACUACAGAUGGAGAGCAAGACUGGAAAAGGCCAGACUUCGGCCUCAAGGCUCUCUCUUUGCUCACACUGGACCCACACGCAGGAGCAUCUCUGGGAUGUGGAGCUGUGUCCACUCGGGAAUGGCUUUCCAGAAUUCAGAUUCAGUUCUGGUGGUUGGAAAGUCAAGAUUAAAGACCUCCAUCUGGUGAGGACCUUUUUGCUAUGUCACCUCAUGGCAGGAAGAUGGCCUGGCAAGAGAGAGCAUUCCAGAGAGAUAGAGAGGGGACAGAAUUGGCCUUUAUACAGUCAGUUUUCUGGUCAUGAAUCCACUCUUGGAAUAAUGACAUUAAUCCAUUCAUGAGUUUUGGAAGGUGCAAACACUGAAACCAUCAAAAAUUUGUGUAUGAUGUCAGUCUUAAAAGUGAAAUUGUCAGACAUUUAACUCUGUGUGUGUGGUACAGGGACAUAAAACCUGUGUGUUUCUGCUAUACCUCCAUAUUUUUUUUGUCUCACUAAGCUGCUAAAUUGCCCAAGCUGUGCUUGAACUUGAACUUCUCCUGACUCAGCCUCCCAGAAUGCUGGGAUUAUAGGCAUUCACCAGCACAUUUAGU
rnacentral:lncRNA from 1 species